rnacentral:misc_RNA from 1 species
GAUGAAGAACGUAGCGAAAUGCGAUACUUGGUGUGAAUUGCAGAAUCCCGUGAACCAUCGAGUCUUUGAACGCAAGUUGCGCCCGAAGCCAUUAGGCCGAGGGCACGCCUGCCUGGGUGUCACACGUCGUUGCCCCCCCAUCUACUCCUUCGGGAUUGCGGGGGGCGGAUGAUGGCCUCCCGUGCGCCUCGUCGCGCGGUUGGCGUAAAUGCCAAGUCCUCGGCGACGCACGCCACGACAAUCGGUGGUUGCGAAACCUCGGUUGCCCGUCGUGUGCGGUCGUCGCGCAUCGAGGGCUCGAAAAAAUUGCCGGGCUCCGGCUCGGCUUUCAACGCGACCCCAGGUCAGGCGGGGUUACCCGCUGAAUUUAAGCAUAUCAAUAAGCGGAGGA